rnacentral:lncRNA from 1 species
CUCUCAUCUUUAACGAAGGCUAAAAGACAUUUAUAACCUUUUGAUUAACUUUGACAAAAAAACACAUAUGGUUAACUAAACUAAAUUUAAAACAUCAACUCUAAACCCUAAAUCAUCAACUCUGACCCUAAACCAUGAAACAUCAACUCUAAACCCUAAACCCUAAACCUUCAAAUCUAAACCCUAAAACAUCAAUUCUAAACCCUAAACGUAAACCUUAAACUCUAAAUCUAAACUUAGAACAUCAACUUUAAACCCAAAAUCAUCAACUCUAAACACUAAACCUUGAAAAAUCAACUCUAAACCCUAAACCGCGAAAUAUCAACUCUAAACCCUAAACCCUAAACCUUCAAAUCUAAACCC